ensembl:lncRNA
UAGCACAAUCCUGGCACAUAUAUACACAAAAAUAUUUGUCUCAGGGGAAAAAAAUGAAUGAAUAAAUCAUCAUCUAGAGCAAAUUCCCUGCGUUGAAGAUGAGGAAGCCAAAGUCCAGUGGCACCUUCUUUCUCUCUGUUAUGGCUCACUCUUGAAUUCUUUCCUGCAUGAAGCCAGGAACACACACGUGGCAGCCAUCCCAGGAACUUGGCCGUGACCUGGGACAUGUGUCCCGUCUCUUUUCCUGGGACAGAACCAUAAAGAGAUGCCAGCACCUCCUGAAGGACAGCAGCAGCUCUCCCACGCGCUCUGUCUACACUGCAGCUCUCCACCCAGGCCAAACUCCGCCUUCCUGCUGUUUUCUCACCAUCAUGCUACGUUGCAUGCUUAUCUCAUUAACUGGCAGGAUUUCAUCAAGAAUAGUUCAUAAAUGCAGUGGCCACUUCGCGGAGCUUUUGACAGGAAUGAGAGCAUUCAUUUAAAAAGAGUAAAGAUGAUGAACCUGUCUGCUGAUGCAGGAGACUUGGUUUCCAUCCCUAGGUUGGGAAGAUUGCUUAGGGAAGGAUAUGCCGGUCCACCCCAGUAUUCUUGCCUAGAAAAUCUCACAGACAGAGGAGCCUACUGGGCUGAAGUCAUGGGGCUGAGAAAGAGUCAGACACAACCAGGCGCACACACACACAAACAUUGUGAUCAGAGAAACAAGUGUCUUCAUGCCCUCUGGAGCAUUUUCCCCAACCAUACACGCAAUUAUGAGAGGGCGUUUAGUGAUGCCUAAUGGCUGAGCACUGAAGAAGUAAUGUUUUUGAACUAUGGUGUUGCAGAAGACUCUUGAGAGUCCCUUGGACUACAAGGAGAUCAAUCCAGUCCAUCCUAAAGGAAAUCAGUUCUGAAUAUUCAUUGGAAGGACUGAUGCUGAAGCUGAAGCUCCAAUACUUUGGCCACCUGAUGUGAAGAACUGACUCAUUUGAGAAGACCCUGAUGCUGGGAAAGGUUGAAGGCAGGAGGAGAAGGGGAUGAUAAAGGAUGAGACGGUUGGGUGGCAUCACUGAUUCGAUGGACAUGAGUUUGAGCAAACUCUAGGAGUUGGUGAAGGCAGGGAAGCCUGGCAUGCUGCAGUCCAUGGGGUCAAAAAGAAUCAGACAUGACUGAGCAACUGAACUGAACUGAACUGAGUGGGCAAAGUGGGAUGAUAUGGUGUGUAACAAGAUAGAUGCUAGAAAUACAGAUUUGAGCAAUACUGAUUAUCAAUCAGAAUUGUAUCAUGAUUGGGGGGCAGAUAAGUAUGUAAAAAUUUUUUAGAAAGUAUGUUUUAUUCUAUAGGAAAAGAGUAAAAAUUUAAGGUCCCCUUUCCUAAACAAUUUGUGGCUUCACUGACCCAUUUCACAAAUAUUUACGCCAGUCCUAUCCUCUACCUGAGAUCAUUGUCAUUUUUGAGAUUGCACCCAAGAGAUUGUACUGCAUUUUGGACUCUUUUGCUGACUAUGAGGGCUACUCCAUUUCUUCUAAGGGAUUCUUGCCCACAGUAGUAGAUAUAAUGGUCACCUGAAUUAAAUUUGCCUAUCCCCGUCCAUUUUAGUUCACUGAUUCCUAAAAUAUCAAUGUUCACUCUUGACAUCUCCUGUGUCAAUAAGCCUACAGGACAAGAGGGGGCAGUGAGUGAGUAGGGAAUAACCCUUGGGUACCUCUGGGAAGCCUUCUUCAAUGACCUACACUCAAGUCAAGGCAUGAAUGUUGAAGCUUACACUUCAGCGUACACGUACAGUGUCUACAUCAUAUAUCUUCUCAGAGCUAUGGAUAUCCUUCAUGGGCAUCAGGAUCCUCACCACCCCCCACCCCCCACAGCCACAGAUCCUCCAAGGAGAAUUACUGAAGUGCCUAGAGCUGUGGCUCACCAGGGACUAAGUACACACAACUCUGGAGGGAACUAUGAGCUUUCCGGAGGCAGGGUGUCGCCCAACAGGUUCUUGAGGGGCAGGCAGAAGGAGGAAAGGAUUAAGGCAGAACAGUGGAUUACCAAGGCAGGGUCACCUAGCUCUGCAGUUGGAAUGUGUAUAAGCAGGUACAAUCAUUUGGGGAAGCAUCUGCCUCACUCAUUCACACUGCCAAAACUUGCCUGGGAACCAGAAAAAGAUGUGGCUCCGCACACCCUGGCCUUGCAUCCUUAGCAGCUGGAUCGAACGUUCCUGCUUCUGCUCUUGACCUGGACCUUGUCCUGAAGAGACUUUUCUGCUCAUCCAGCAAGGACACAAGUCCCUUAAAGGCUUAAAUACUUAAUUUCAGUAACGAAGUAAAAUGAAAGCAGGGGGACCUCUUUCUAUCUAUGAAAGACCAUUAAACUCGGGUGUCAAAUUAUCUGCUGCUAAAUAAAGUGCUUUAAUUUUCA